GACGAACGCUGGCGGCGUGCCUAAUACAUGCAAGUAGAACGCACAGUUUAUACCGUAGCUUGCUACACCAUAAACUGUGAGUUGCGAACGGGUGAGUAACGCGUAGGUAACCUGCCUGGUAGCGGGGGAUAACUAUUGGAAACGAUAGCUAAUACCGCAUAAUAUUAAUUAUUGCAUGAUAAUUGAUUGAAAGAUGCAAUUGCAUCACUACCAGAUGGACCUGCGUUGUAUUAGCUAGUAGGUGAGGUAACGGCUCACCUAGGCGACGAUACAUAGCCGACCUGAGAGGGUGAUCGGCCACACUGGGACAGAGACACGGCCCAGACUCCUACGGGAGGCAGCAGUAGGGAAUCUUCGGCAAUGGACGAAAGUCUGACCGAGCAACGCCGCGUGAGUGAAGAAGGUUGUCGGAUCGUAAAGCUCUGUUGUAAGAGAAGAACGGGUGUGAGAGUGGAAAGUUCACACUGUGACGGUAUCUUACCAGAAAGGGACGGCUAACUACGUG
rnacentral:rRNA from 1 species